rnacentral:rRNA from 1 species
GGUGGCGAAAGAGCGAGGGAAACACCCGUUCCCAUUCCGAACACGGAAGUUAAGCCUCGUGAGCGCCGAUGAUACUGUGCUGGAGACGGCACGGGAAAGUAGGUGGCUGCCG